UUGGAGGGCAGUCUGGUGCCAGCAGCCGCGGUAAUUCCAGCUCCAAUAGCGUAUAUUAAAGUUGUUGCAGUUAAAAAGCUCGUAGUUGAAUUUCGGGGUCAGUAGGUUGGUCAUGCCACUGGUAUGUACUGGUCUCACUGAUUCCUCCUUCCUGAUGAGCCGUAAUGCCAUUAAUUUGGUGUUGCGAGGAAUCUGGACUGUUACUUUGAAAAAAUUAGAGUGUUUAAAGCAAGCUAACGCUUGAAUACAUUAGCAUGGAAUAAUGAAAUAGGACGUUCGAUCCUAUUUUGUUGGCUUCUAGGAUUGACGUAAUGAUUAAUAGGGAUAGUUGGGGGCAUUAGUAUUCAAUUGUCAGAGGUGAAAUUCUUGGAUUUAUUGAAGACUAACUACUGCGAAAGCAUUUGCCAAGGAUGUUCUCAUUAAUCAAGAACGAAAGUUAGGGGAUCGAAGACGAUCAGAUACCGUCGUAGUCUUAACCAUAAACUAUGCCGACUAGGGAUCGGAUGAUGUUAAUUUUUUAAUGACUCAUUCGGCGCCUUACGGGAAAC
rnacentral:rRNA from 1 species